rnacentral:rRNA from 1 species
GAUGAACGCUGGCGGCGUGCCUAAUACAUGCAAGUCGAGCGAACAGACGAGGAGCUUGCUCCUCUGACGUUAGCGGCGGACGGGUGAGUAACACGUGGAUAACCUACCUAUAGGACUGGGAUAACUUCGGGAAACCGGCGCUAAUACCGGAUAAUAUAUUGAACCGCAUGGUUCAAUAGUGAAAGACGGUUUUGCUGUCACUUAUAGAUGGAUCCGCGCCGCAUUAGCUAGUUGGUAAGGUAACGGCUUACCAAGGCAACGAUGCGUAGCCGACCUGAGAGGGGGAUAGGCCACACGGGAACUGGGACACGGUCAAGACUCCUAAGGGAGGCAGCAGUAGGGAAUCUUCCGCAAAGGGCGAAAGCAUGACGGAGCAACGCCGCGUGAGUGAUGAAGGUCUUCGGAGCGUAAAACUCUGUUAUUAGGGAAGAACAAAUGUGUAAGUAACUAUGCACGGCUUGACGGUACCUAAUCAGAAAGCCACGGCUAACUACGUG